CUUCUGCAGGUUCCUCUUUGAAGAUGAAAACAAUUCAACAACCUUCUUCUCCAUGCCUUUCAGAAUGAAUUUCUUCUUCUCCCGGAUUUUUCUUUCAAUUCUUGGCUGAAGUUUCAAGCUGUGAUCACUCCAGGAUUGCAGGAAUGAGUUUGCCCUUCUCUUCUGCUCUUGGAUCAUGUGAGGACACAGAGUUCCUUUCCCUGAAAAUGCACCAACGAGGCACCACCUUGGAAGUGGAGACCAGGCCCUUAACAGACACCAAACCUAUAGGAAUCUUGAUGUUGGAUCUCCCAGCCUCCAAAACUGUGAGAAAUAGAUUUAUGUUCUUUAUAAAUCACCCAGUCUGUGGUGCUCUAUUAUAGCAGCACAAAACAGACUAAGAUAGCAGGUACAUACGGACAAACGGUAUAUGAUUGUACACAGGUGAACAUGUACUUAAACAGAAUAUGGUAGUGCACAAGCAAACACAUGCAUAAACAGUACGUAGUCACACACAGGCUAAUGCAUACAUAGGCCAGAUCAUUUCCCACAUUGGCAGUACUAUGAAGGGGAUGAAGAUGGGCUCAGAGGAUCGGGAGUGGAUAGAGGUCCAGGGCAGUAAGAGCCACUGUAGAUGAGGUGGUCAGGGAAGGUGUCCCUGAAAAGAUUCCACCUGAACUGACACCAAAGGGCAGGGGUGGGCAGCGAUGAAAAGGGCCCCUCUCUCAGGCAGGGAGCAGCAAAUUCAUUAUCAUUGAGGCAGGACGCAGCUUAGCAUUGCUCAGGACAAUAUGAUCAGUGUGGCUGGAGAUCAGUGCACUUUCGGAGGUGACAUGGAUUGAGGUUAGGAAGACUAGCAGGUGUUGACUCCUCCAGGUCUUAAUUUAUAAGGGUAGCAGAUCUGAUAGGCUACUUGUGAUGUGGUGAGCGCCCCAUCAACUGGGCAAUGGAAAGAGGGGCUGGGUGACCACUGAUCAGCAAUGUCGGAAGUGGGAGAGAGUGAGGAAGAAAUUGAAGUGGAAUGCUUUAAAGCACUGUCCGUCUUUGACAUCAAGACACUCACUUUGCUGAGCUCAGAGACAUCUGAAGUUUAAUCACCUGCAGAUUUGAUUGAAUGUAUUUUGCCAAUAUUGAGGGACAGCCACCAUGAGGAGAAGUGCCAGUGCAGCUGCCAACUGAGGAGAGGCCAGGACCUCAGUACCAUGGAUACAGCAAAUGUGGACAGAGCCAGUGCCGUGGCUCAUUUAGAGCCAGAUGUGAAAGGCAGCUGGCUGUGCCUCCUUGCUUUGACUGCUGAAAACCAUAAAUAAAUACAUGUAAAAAGUUGGA